UCAACCCCUUGUGUUGCCGGCUUUUACGAUGCUAUGACUUUAAAUAUGACUGUACCCGGACACGGAAAGGCGUGGAUAUUAUCAGCCUGGUAGAGUUUUACCUGGCUGCUGAAAAAUUGAUGUUAACUUUUCUUUACUUAUUUAUUAAAAAAAAAUCCGGGCCUACUCACCGUAUUAACGGUCCGAACCGAGACGGUUGGAAGGAUUAUAAAUUUUAAAUUCCAUUCGGCGUUCAGUAAAUCCGCUCCAAUUUUGAAAUUUCAAGAUAUAUAAAUAUAGAUUUUUUUUUUAAAAAAAGAAUUGCUAAUAACAAGAUAUUUUAACCAAGCUCAUAACGUUGGGCUCGCGCUCGGUUUGAACCGAAUAUCGAACGCGGGUCGGUUGGUCCAGGCGGCUCGCGCGGCCCCAGCUGGUGAGGUGAAAGGGGGGAGGGGAGGGGAUGGAUUGGGACCUGGACUUGGCCGUCCAGCGGGAGCAGCUGGAGCGGGCCGGCCAGGCUCACUUGCUCCGCUUCUGGGACGAGCUGAACGAGGCCGAGCGAGCCGAGCUGCUGGGCGACCUGAGCGGCUGCCACUUCGCCGAGAUCAUGUGCUUCUUCGGCCGAGCCGUGCAGGUGAUGACGGCGCCGCAGCAGCAGAUGGACGAGCAGAUGGAACCGGUGCCCAGGGAAGUGCAGGGCAGCGUGACCAGAGACCGGGAGCGGCUACCCGAAUGGGAGGCAGAGGGUCUUCUUCAAAUCUCUGAAAACAAAGUAGCUGUAUUGCUUUUAGCUGGUGGACAGGGAACACGCCUUGGAGUAACCUAUCCUAAAGGAAUGUACAAUGUUGGUUUACUAUCAAGAAAAACUCUCUUUCAAAUUCAAGCCGAACGUAUUCUGAAACUUCAGGAGUUGGCUUCAGCGCAGUUUGGUCACAAAUGCACUAUUCCAUGGUAUAUCAUGACUAGUGGUCGGACAAUGGAAUCUACGGAAGAAUUUUUUGCUAAAAAUAGCUACUUUGGCUUACAGAAAGGAAAUGUCAUCUUUUUCCAACAGGGAAUGUUGCCAGCUAUGACUUUUGAUGGGAAAGCCAUCCUUGAAGGAAAAAGCAAAAUUUCAAUGGCACCAGAUGGGAAUGGUGGUCUUUAUCGAGCACUUCGAAAUCAGAAGAUUGUGGAGGAUAUGGAAAAACGGGGCAUUGGUUUUAUUCAUGUGUACUGUGUGGACAAUAUUCUUGUUAAAGUUGCAGAUCCAACAUUCAUUGGCUUCUGUGUGAAGCAGCAAGCUGACUGUGGAGCCAAGGUAGUAGAAAAGACAAAUCCAACUGAGGCUGUUGGUGUCGUAUGUAAAGUAAAUGGUCUGUAUCAAGUUGUGGAAUACAGUGAGAUCACCCUAGUUACUGCACAGAGAAGGAAUGCUGAUGGACGUCUAACAUUCAAUGCAGGGAACAUGUGCAACCACUUCUUUACACUACAGUUCUUAAAGAACAUUGUUAAAGACUAUGAACCUAAAUUGCGACACCAUGUUGCCCAGAAGAAAAUUCCUUACAUUGAUGAUCACGGGCAGCAAAUUAAACCAGACAGUCCUAAUGGAAUCAAAUUGGAAAAAUUUGUAUUUGAUAUUUUUCAGUUUUCAAGGAAAUUUGUAGUGUUUGAAGUCUUGCGAGAAGAUGAAUUUUCUCCACUGAAGAAUGCAGAUAGUCAGAAUGGGAAAGACACACCUACAACAGCACGCCAUGCACUGAUGUCCCUGCACCAUCGUUGGGUGCUAAAUGCAGGCGGACACUUUGUUGAUGAAAAUGGAACAAGGAUUCCUGCAAUUCCCAGUUCAACAACUAGAAUGUCAGAAGCAGUCGCUGCUGUUGUCAAUGACAAUCUGAAGGAGUUAACAGAUGUUCCAAUCAAAUGUGAAAUUUCUGCACUUGUAUCUUAUGCUGGAGAGAUUACUUCAGGGGACCAGAAAAGUUGCCCUGUGCCAUACAGGCAGCAAGAACCAUUCAAGGAUCCUCGGAAGGUAUAGACAGUGUAAACGUACUGCAGAUUCUCCUACCUUAAUCAACAAUUAAUUGGACAAAUCUGAAAAUGCAAUGGGGGUCUGGAUAAAUAUGUUGCAGGACGAGACUUCCGACCUCCACUGAUUAUAGAUGAGAAAGGGGUCCAAGAAUUGACCGCAAAUGGGCUCUAAAAUGAGACAUGCAACAGAAUAUGAGGAUCCUUUUGAAGUCAUCUUUUUACAAUGAAUAAACUGCACAACAAAAUUAACUGGGACAUUUGUACAUUGUUCAACAACAGUUAAGAGUCAAACAGGUCUUAAAUUAUAAUUUAAAUUUUUUUUGAAAGAAAGUUUUAGUAAACUAUUUUACAGUUUUAGUAUUUAAAUCAUUACUUGCAUUAUUAUAGAAACUGGUUUAUUUUUUCAGAAUGGGUUUUGCUCUCUGGAUAUAGUUCAAUUUUUGUAGGUCUAAAUGUUAAUAUUUCACAGUGGAUAAAACAAUUUAUUUUAAUGUGACGUUUAACGUGAUAAUUGAUUUGACUCUUUUUAAAACCCAACACAUAUAAUAAUUAGAAUAUCAUGUUGAGUGACUGUUCAACUUAAUUGUUUCUUUAAUUUGUGGGGAAGAUCUUCAUAACUCACAGUUAUAGCACCUAUGAGUUAUGGAACUUAUACUUGUGAUUAACAAUAUCUAUGUCAUUGCAUUAUCAUAUAAAAAUAUAUAUAUAUAUAUAUAUUUAUAUAUACUGGCCAGUGUUCUAUAUGAAGGGUUUCAAUUGGUACUAAAAUAUUUAUAUUUGAAACUGAGCCUUAAAGCAUAAUUUCCACAGAUUAGAGUAGAACUAUUACAGUUAUUAUACCCCCAUAAAAGCUAAAUUUGUGUUGCGGCUUUUAGUCCAAUUUUAUUAAUGCCUGUUCCAAAUAACCCAUGCUCUCUUUUUGGAUACAUCCUGCACCCAUACCCUGGCUUGUAACACAGAUUAAACUCCUCUACUACAGUGGUGUCAUGCAGUAAGGAAACGAGCGAGGACAUCUCCCACUAGGAAAAAAAAAAGGAUCCUUUGAAGUCUGGCAUGGCCAAAUUUAAAUUUUUUGAAAUAAACCUAUCUUGAACUACUUAGCCUGUUGUAGGAUUCUAAAGUUAUGCUCUAAAGAUGCUGCACCUUUUCAUUUGUUUUAUUGCUCCAAUUAUGAAAACUAUCUUUCUAACGGUUUCUUUCUGUAUUGGUGUUGAUGGUACUUUUUACUAUUAAAUUACAUCUACAGAGUGUUCAAUAAUGGGAAAAAAUGUAUUGUCACAAAUUCAGAAUAUGUGGCUUUUGCAGCAUUAGCAAAUUGAUCUACAUGACUGAUUCUUUGUCAAACACUUUUUAUAGUGAUUGAUUAUUUUGACAGUCGAAUAAAAUCAUCUAAUUUUGUUUGCUUAUUAA